rnacentral:misc_RNA from 1 species
UUUUCAUUUUUUUAACCAAAUCUUCAAUUUUAUCAAUUUGAUUCUCAAACUUUGACAUUAAUUUCAAUAAGAUUAAUUUGAUGACUAACCAAAAUAAACCAAACUUUUGCUCACAUCAAUUUUUAACUUAUCCUUUUACAUUUAUAUCAAUUUUGGCAAUCACAUUGAACUUGAUGAAUAAAAUUCCUAAGUGAAAUAAAAUAUUAUUUUAAUUAAUUUUUAUUUUUCUUUCCCUUCCUCAUGUCUCUCUCUCUUUUACCUCUCUUAAGUUCUCUUUCUCUCUCCUUACGGUGCUACUUCCUUUAGUACACAAAUGUUAAUAUUUGAGGGACAAAUAAAAAGAAUUGUCAAAAAUUGAUAAUGCAUGCAAAGAUUUGGAUAUUUUUUUUCAAUUUGUCAAUCUAAUUCUUUCUAAUUGGAUUGAUUGCUAAGAUUCAAGCCAGUUGAUUAUGCAAGUAAGAUUGGGAUUUUUUAAGUCAUUUAGCCCUAAAUAUCUUACUUUACCAUUUUAGCACCUUACAUGUUGCAGCCUUUGAUAUAUCAACAGUAUAUACAUGAAUUUGCAAUUAGGAAAGGAUAUGUGCAUAUUAUCUAAAAAAAAAAUCCCUUUGAUUGUGUGUCUGUGUGCCUACUUGUCUCAGUUUUCUGUUGUAUGCUAAAUGCCAUCGUUGUAGAUAAGUGCAAUUUGGUAUUAAGUUUGUUUGUCUGCAGUCUUUUGCAGAUUCGUG